UACGAGGGGGGCAAGCGUUGUUCGGAAUUAUUGGGCGUAAAGGGUGCGUAGGCGGUUUUGUAAGUCUUGUGUGAAAUCUUCAGGCUCAACUUGAAGACUGCACGAGAAACUGCAGGGCUUGAGUGUGGGAGAGGUGAGUGGAAUUCCUGGUGUAGCGGUGAAAUGCGUAGAUAUCAGGAGGAACACCUGUGGCGAAAGCGGCUCACUGGACGACUGUUGACGCUGAGGUGCGAAAGCGUGGGGAGCAAACAGG
rnacentral:rRNA from 1 species